GACGGAGGAUGCAAGUGUUAUCCGGAAUCACUGGGCGUAAAGCGUCUGUAGGUGGUUUAAAAAGUCUACUGUUAAAGCUUGAAGCUUAACUUCAAAAAUGCCGUAGAAACUUUUAAACUUGAGUAUGGUAGGGGUAGAGGGAAUUUCCAGUGGAGCGGUGAAAUGCGUAGAUCUUGGAAAGACCAUCAAUGGCGAAGGCACUCUACUGGGCCAUAACUGACACUAAGAGACGAAAGCUAGGGGAGCAAAUGGG
rnacentral:rRNA from 1 species